GCGGCAGGCCUAACACAUGCAAGUCGAGCGGCAGCAUAGCCGUAGCAAUACGAUGGGUGGCGAGCGGCGGACGGGUGAGGAACACAUCGGAAUCUACCCUGUCGUGGGGGACAACGUAGGGAAACUUACGCUAAUACCGCAUACGACCUUUGGGUGAAAGCGGGGGACCCGCAAGGGCCCCGCGCGAUUGGAUGAGCCGAUGUCCGAUUAGCUAGUUGGCGGGGUAAUGGCCCACCAAGGCGACGGUCGGUAGCUGGUCUGAGAGGACGACCAGNCACACUGGAACUGAGACACGGUCCAGACUCCUACGGGAGGCNGCAGUGGGGAAUAUUGGACAAUGGGGGCAACCCUGAUCCAGCCAUGCCGCGUGGGUGAANAAGGCCUUCGGGUUGUAAAGCCCUUU
rnacentral:rRNA from 1 species